rnacentral:rRNA from 1 species
AGCCAUGCAUGUUUAUGUAAUAAGGACGAACAGCUCAGUCGAACUACGAUGAUAUAAAAGGUGUGUGCAGAGUAACUACGUGAAAAUGUAGCUAUUAGAGGACAGAAUAAGACGUAGGACUAUCAGUUAGUUGGUAGUGUAAUGGACUACCAAGACGAUGACGGGUAACGGGGAAUCAGGGUUUGAUACCGGAGAGGGAGCCUGAGAGAUAGCUCCCACGUCCAUGGACGGCAGCAGGCGCGAAAAUUGCCCACUCUUUGCAGGAGGCAGUUAUGAGACGUGAAGAUGAAUAUUCAGUAAAGAUGAAUAGGAGAAUUGGAGGGCAAGUUUGGUGCCAGCCGCCGCGGUAAUACCGACUCCAAGAGUGUGUAUGAGAGAUGCUGCAGUUAAAAAGUCCGUAGUCAUAGAAAAGGUAAACAGGGAUGUGAAGUCUCUAGUGUUAGCGAUUGAAAAGCCGAUGGGGAACAUAGUAUACCAGGGCGAGAGAUGAAAUGCCAAGACCCCCCUGGUGGGACUGAGCCGAGGCGAAAGCCGAUGUUUCUUGUAGGUGGUUUGAUGAUCAAGGGACGAAGGGUUGUGAGUUAUUCGAAAGGUGAUUUAGAUACCCGGCACUAGUUUCCCACGCCAGUAAAAAGAAUGCCCGGACAAUGUUUCCAUUUGGGGGAACCAGUGGGGCACCAGGGGAAGAAAAAAU